UAAUUAAUUACAUCCACUGCUACUCUCUAUCUCUCACCUCCUCUGAUCCGGUUUCUCUCUCUUUAUCCGAUCGUUCCUCUUAGCUCCGAGUCGCCGCUGUCCUCUCUCCGAUGGUGUCGCCGGUCGUGAUCUCUGUGCUCUCAUUUCCAGCGAAGCAUACGAUCUCUUUCUCUCUCUCUUCCAUUCCCAGGUUCGAUCAAGUCGAGCUUACCUGGUCUGAAUUCGACGACGACGAACUCUGAGGCUGUCUGCGGCGAAGGAGCGGGCGUUGUCUCAUCCAAAAAUAAAAUGCAAGGCUUGCCAGAAACAUCCCUAGACUCGCUUCAGAACUCCGGCCGGCCAAUUUAGUCUCGAUCUGCGGCCAGUCCCUCAACCUCAUCACCUAAACGUCAUUGUUUCCGACCUCUCUUCCUGAUUCCUCCGUCGCCAACCAGUUCAACAGCCUCGGCUACUCUAGAGAAGCGAGCUUCCACAAGGUACAGAAUCGAGAAAUUGGGGCAUCCAUCUCUUCACGUCUCAUAGUCGAGGUCUGUAACCGGCGAAGGGAGAAGAAGGAGAAGACUUGGGUGCCC
rnacentral:lncRNA from 1 species